rnacentral:rRNA from 1 species
AGCGAACGCUGGCGGCAGGCCUAACACAUGCAAGUCGAACGAACCCUUCGGGGUUAGUGGCGGACGGGUGAGUAACACGUGGGAACGUGCCUUUAGGUUCGGAAUAACUCAGGGAAACUUGUGCUAAUACCGAAUGUGCCCUUCGGGGGAAAGAUUUAUCGCCUUUAGAGCGGCCCGCGUCUGAUUAGCUAGUUGGGGAGGUAAUGGCUCACCAAGGCCACGAUCAGUAGCUGGUCUGAGAGGAGGACCAGCCACAUUGGGACUGAGACACGGCCCAAACGCAUACGGGAGGCAGCAGUGGGGAAUCUUGCGCAAUGGGCGAAAGCCUGACGCAGCCAUGCCGCGUGGAUGAUGAAGGUCUUAGGAUUGUAAAAUCCUUUCACCGGUGAAGAUAAUGACUGUAGCCGGAGAAGAAGCCCCGGCUAACUUCGUGCCAGCAGCCGCGGUAACAC